AAGACUAUAGACCUGCGGAGUACCUGCGGAGGGAUCAUUACCGAGUUAGGGUAGUCACUCACUGCCCGACCUCCCAACCCUGUGUCUACCACACUUUGUCGUUGCUUCGGCGGACCGGUUGACCAACUGGUCGUGACCGCCGGGGGCUGGCUCUGUCCCCCCUGGAGAGCGUCCGUCGAUGGCCCAACCACAAAACUCUUGUACCGAAACGUGUCGUCUGAAUUAUAUUUGAGAAAUCAA
rnacentral:misc_RNA from 1 species